GGCACACCACGAAGCCUUAAGUUCCUCCUACCGGAUGGAUGGAGAUGUAUCAGCAUCCGAUUCUGUUCUCCAGUGCACACUGCUGGGUAUUACCCUUGGAGUAAUACGAUGUACUUGAGACUCGUGACUUACCAGGGGCCAUCUUGGGCAGAGCUUGGGGCUUCAGCCUGUCUAAGGAUCUGCGGAUAUCUGGCUGAUUAGAGCCCUCAUAAUGCGCUAGUUUUCUAUGUUUGUGCCACAUCUCUCUGUAGGGGGUUCAAGGUGUAAUAUGUCUCAAUUUUUCUCACUAUUUUCAUGCCGUAAAGGCUAAUAUGCAGUCUGUGGAGCCAGAGCUCUUUACAGACAUGUCUGGGUGGUUGCUCAGCUGGCUACACCACAAGUUGAGUA